UCUCUCCUGUAUUUCAGGAUUAGUUUGGCCGGGCUCAGAAACAUUUGCUUUUUUCCAGAGAAAAUAUUAGGUGGUCUGAGUAAGAAUUCUGAGUGAAAUAUCCAGCAAAGGUUCCAAUUGUGGCAGAGGUUUUAGUGGCGUGGAUUCCUGUCCAUGAGAUCACCAGCUCGCUGACCAAUGAUGACUUGGUAAUGACCACUUGGUACUCAGCUGCGUGGAGUACAAAUCUGAAAUAGCUGACUUUAAGUCAGAAGACUGAUCUACAGCGAGGU